GCCCGGCUAGCUCAGUCGGUAGAGCGUUGGACUCUCUAAUCCAACGGUCGUGGGUUCGAGCCCCUACGUUGGGCG
rnacentral:tRNA from 1 species